rnacentral:lncRNA from 1 species
UCUUUUGUUUAAUACUAUCAAUAAUAACAUCAUGGAAUUCUUUCUUAGUAAUUCCUAAAAUCUCUUUUAAUAUAAAUUCAAUCUUAGCACUGAGUACAUAUUUCUUAAGGACUUUCAUAAAAUCUAUUGAUGCUUCAAUAUCAAAAAGUAGUUUGUAAGUUGUGAAUUUAUCUUUAACUUUCAUCUCCUUUGUUUUUUCUUCUAUUAUUGUUGAAGUAUCCUUUGUGGAUAAUUCUUGUGAAGCCACUGCAUGAGCCUUAUCUCUUUGACUUUGCCUCUUAAAAGAAUUUCUUUCUUUUGUAUUAUUAAAAUUUCCUCUCUUCUUUUCUUCCAUUAAAGCUUCAUGUUGGCUUCUAGCAAUAUAUGCAUGUACUGACAAAGCUUCUAUAGGAUCCUCCUAAUCCAUAGCACCACAAAUUAUUGCAACAAUUUUUAAUAAAACUCCCCGUGGCAUCUUCUCUUUUUGUAUUGUAGAAAUAGCAGAAGACCAAAGUCCACUUGAUUGAACAUUUCCAACAAAAUUUUUUCUAUCAUUAUCCAUCCUAAUUCUAUAACUUAUAACUUCUAUUGCUACAAUCCCAUGUAUUGGCAAAUAAUCUUUAACCAACGCUUUCAUAUUUCCUCUAUUAAUGUUGGUUUGGAGAAGAUCAUGAGUAUCCUU